UCCCGUUCAGUGAGCAGUGUUUAUGCAUCGUGUGGCCAGACAGGAUGUUCUACUGAUGCUUCAGACAGGGCUCCAGCUGUGUUGUAUGAAGUACAGGGACUGCAUCUCACUGCUGAAGUGAGAGAAACUACCAGAAUGUGGGAAAACCACUUUCAGUCUCUGAAGAGCCAUGUGCCACUUCAGUAUGUUGGGACAUGAGGAAAACCCGGGAUUGAACAGCAACCUGAUUAACAACAGCAUAAGAUGGUAAGAAAAUGACAAAGCAAGGAGAGAAAACAGUGUAGGAACCUCUAUAAUAUUUUCAGAUGAAGACAGCUCCUUCACGCGUAGAGAAAUACAUAAAUCCAACACCAGCAGCUCACCGCGGUUCCUUUACGGAGCAAGGGCUGUCUGACACCGUAAAAGAGAAGGCAGCGCUCGUUUUUCCUCCCUCCCGUUUACCCGUUCCCCGCCGCCGCCAUACUCACACCACCCGGUCCAGUGGGUCCAUGGCUACCAAACUGCUCCACGCGCGCGCCCCGCUGUCGUCACUCACUAUCGUCCGGUGGGAGGAGGUUAAAUGCCUUGGCUAAAACUACAGAAGGCCCUUACAAGAACAUAAAUGUGGACCAGAUAAGCCUGUGUAAAUCACGGACAGUCAUGAACUGCCAAAGAAGGAACCAGUACACUUGCUUGCCUUUAUAACAGCCUAAGUAUCAUGUAAUAUCCAGGUUCAUCUCAAUCUCCUAGUUACCAUGGGUCAGGCUGUGCAGCUGGAUGAUGAGAAAUUUUUGGUGCAUUAGUGCCAAAUGUAUUUUUAAAGGAGACUACCUCACUGCUGGGCCAAACUUGUCAUGGGCAUUAGUGGUUUGCUGGGGCCUUCCAUAUCCUGGCAAGAGUAUUUCAGCAACUUACCUCUUAAAGAGACUGUCCUUGGAGUCUGCUGGGGAGAUUGAACUGCUUGAUGAGAUAAAUAUGGAAAUACGUAUUUUGAAGAUCCAGGUUUUGGAUUUCUUGAGGCCUCAGCUAACAAUCCUGUCAGUGCUUGAACAGGUUUGUGUGUGUGUGCUGCCAGAGGCGAGUACCCAGCUAGCACUAAGGGCAGUUUAAGUCAGUGAUGACCAAACAGUAAAUUUAAAAUAAAUGAUCGUGUCCAAGAUCUAUGUACACAGUAUGCACGCACUAGUUUCAGUGGGUUCACUUGCAGUUUAAGCAUGUUAAUGCAUAUUUUGGGCCCUGUAGUUUGCAAAUUUUUGUUGUGGAAGUUUAUAGAUCAGAUACUUGGGCUAUUUUAGCAAAUAGCCAUUUUUUCAUUUAAGGUACAUUACUGGAAAUCAGAGAAAGUUCACUGAAACACAUAAUGAACAAAUUCUGGCUUCUUUGUCUCUUUUUUCCAUUUUCUUUUUAUUUUUAUCUUCAUGCUUGGAAUUCCUUCUCAAUUUCUUCUCCUUUUGCAGAAGUCAAUCACCCUCUCUCCAUGCCCUCCUGAACACUUCUCAGUGAGGCCCUGGCAUUAGUCUGUCUAAGUAAAAGGUUAGAUGUGUUGUAAAAACACAGAGUGGGAAAGAGUCUUUGCUUAAGUUCUUGGGUUUUAUCUGUCUGUUUAGACUGUGCCUCUGGUUAAAAACCUUUUGAAUUGUGUAAUAAAACUUCCACAGAAUUUGGUAUUUAAAAAAUGCUAAAAGAUCCUAUGUGUGCACAUAUACAUGUGCACACACUAUAUACGUAUAGUCUGUGUAUCUGUACUAUUUGCUGAAUUGACUGCCUCGGGAGAAGGGUGUUGUAGGUGUCUGGGCUUAUUUUAAAUUGGAAAUAUAACUAAAAUUGAUGAUGUGACAAAAGGUGAUUGCCUAAUCAGACUUCUCAAUGUUA